AACGUAGGUGGCAAGCGUUAUCCGGAAUUACUGGGCGUAAAGGGUGUGCAGGCGGGGAAGCAAGUGAUGUAUGAAAUCUCCAGGCUUAACCUGGAGGGGUUAUGCCAGACUGCAUCUCUAGAGGACGAGAGAGGGGGGUGGAAUUCCGGGUGUAGUGGUGAAAUGCGUAGAGAUCCGGAGGAACCCCAGAGGCGAAGGCGGCCCCCUGGCUCGUACCUGACGCUCAGCCACGAAAGCAUGGGGAGCGAACGGG
rnacentral:rRNA from 1 species